rnacentral:rRNA from 1 species
GAUGAACGCUGGCGGCGUGCCUAAUACAUGCAAGUCGAGCGAACAGACGAGGAGCUUGCUCCUCUGACGUUAGCGGCGGACGGGUGAGUAACACGUGGAUAACCUACCUAUAAGACUGGGAUAACUUCGGGAAACCGGAGCUAAUACCGGAUAAUAUAUUGAACCGCAUGGUUCAAUAGUGAAAGACGGUUUUGCUGUCACUUAUAGAUGGAUCCGCGCCGCAUUAGCUAGUUGGUAAGGUAACGGCUUACCAAGGCAACGAUGAGUAGCCGACCUGAGAGGGUGAUCGGCCACACUGGAACUGAGACACGGUCCAGACUCCUAUGGGAGGCAGCAGUAGGGAAUCUUCCGCAAUGGGCGAAAGCCUGACGGAGCAACGCCGCGUGAGUGAUGAAGGUCUUCGGAUCGUAAAACUCUGUUAUUAGGGAAGAACAAAUGUGUAAGUAACUAUGCACGUCUUGACGGUACCUAAUCAGAAAGCAACGGCUAACUACGUG